AGGGAAAUAGCUCAGUGGUAGAGUGCAUGCCUAGCUUGCACGAGGUCCUGGGUUCAAUCCCCAGUACCUCCA
rnacentral:tRNA from 1 species